UACAGAGGGGUCAAGCGUUGUUCGGAUUCAUUGGGCGUAAAGGGUGCGUAGGCGGCGCCGUAAGUCCGGUGUGAAAGUUCGGAGCUUAACUCCGAAACUGCAUUUGAUACUGCGGUGCUUGAGGACUGGAGAGGAGACUGGAAUUUACGGUGUAGCAGUGAAAUGCGUAGAGAUCGUAAGGAAGACCAAUGGCGAAGGCGGGUCUCUGGACAGUUCCUGACACUGAGGCACGAAAGCCAGGGGAGCAAACGGG
rnacentral:rRNA from 1 species